UACGGGGGGGGCAAGCGUUGUUCGGAAUUACUGGGCGUAAAGGGCUCGUAGGUGGCCAACUAAGUCAGACGUGAAAUCCCUCGGCUUAACCGGGGAACUGCGUCUGAUACUGGAUGGCUUGAGGUUGGGAGAGGGAUGCGGAAUUCCAGGUGUAGCGGUGAAAUGCGUAGAUAUCUGGAGGAACACCGGUGGCGAAGGCGGCAUCCUGGACCAAUUCUGACGCUGAGGAGCGAAAGCCAGGGGAGCAAAACGGG
rnacentral:rRNA from 1 species